UGGGGAAUCUUGGACAAUGGGCGCAAGCCUGAUCCAGCCAUGCCGCGUGAGUGAAGAAGGCCUUAGGGUUGUAAAACUCUUUCGCCGGAGAAGAUAAUGACGGUAUCCGGAGAAGAAGCCCCGGCUAACUUCGUGCCAGCAGCCGCGGUAAUACGAAGGGGGCUAGUGUUGUUCGGAAUUACUGGGCGUAAAGCGCACGUAGGCGGGUUUGUAAGUUGGGGGUGAAAUCCCAGGGCUCAACCCUGGAACUGCCUUCAAGACUGCAAGCCUGGAGGUCAGGAGAGGCGAGUGGAAUACCGAGUGUAGAGGUGAAAUUCGUAGAUAUUCGGUGGAACACCAGUGGCGAAGGCGACUCGCUGGACUGAUACUGACGCUGAGGUGCGAAAGCGUGGGGAGCAAACAGGAUUAGAUACCCACGUAGUCCCUGAGCGGGCUGGCAAGGCGCAU
rnacentral:rRNA from 1 species